rnacentral:lncRNA from 1 species
GGAAAGUAGAGCUCAUGAAGGGUAUGGAAUAAGACUAAUGAGGUCAGUGGGAGCCUGCAUGCAGAGAGCCUUCUAUAAAUGUAGAAAAUACAGGAGCUGUGUUCAGGCCCUAAGAGGAAGACAACAGCUAUACAAACAGAGGCGCCCCAGGAAAAGAAGUCUGAGAUCUGAGAGCAUCGGGAGUACCAAUUCAUUAUCUCCAUUAUCUCGCUAGAUCCUCUUAAGAACCCAGUGAGAUGAGAGGUGACAGUCGAGGUGUUGCCGAGAGAAGACUGCAGCCUGUCUGAGGCCCUGGGAUGUUGACCUCAGUGGAUGGAUGACCCCUGGAUGGGUGGGUUCGCUUGUUUUGUAUCUUGCUUUAUCUGUCUCUUUCCUUCUUAGGGAGAAAAAUGGA